UUUCCGUAGGUGAACCUGCGGAAGGAUCAUUAUCAUGUAAUUCAGUCCCCUUGGCUGUGUUAUAUAUAUACCCACUCUGUGUACCUUCUCCUGUUGCUUCCGCUGGGUGUGUAAUUCGCCCGGCGGAAGGGUAAAAACAACCUCUGAGUAUUGAUGAAAUCUCUGUCUGAACCGAAUAGAAAGAAAAAUGUUAAAACUUUCAGCAACGGAUCUCUUGGUUCUC
rnacentral:misc_RNA from 1 species